GAUGAACGCUGGCGGCGUGCCUAAUACAUGCAAGUCGAGCGAACAGACGAGGAGCUUGCUCCUCUGACGUUAGCGGCGGACGGGUGAGUAACACGUGGAUAACCUACCUAUAAGACUGGGAUAACUUCGGGAAACCGGAGCUAAUACCGGAUAAUAUAUUGAACCGCAUGGUUCAAUAGUGAAAGACGGUUUUGCUGUCACUUAUAGAUGGAUCCGCGCCGCAUUAGCUAGUUGGUAAGGUAACGGCUUACCAAGGCAACGAUGCGUAGCCGACCUGAGAGGGUGAUCGGCCACACUGGAACUGAGACACGGUCCAGACUCCUACGGGAGGAAGCAGUAGGGAAUCUUCCGCAAUGGGCAAAAUCUUGACGGAGCAACGCCGCGUGAGUGAUGAAGGUCUUCGGAUCGUAAAACUCUGUUAUUAGGGAAGAACAAAUGUGUAAGUAACUAUGCACGUCUUGACGGUACCUAAUCAGAAAGCCACGGCUAACUACGUG
rnacentral:rRNA from 1 species